rnacentral:lncRNA from 1 species
GAAUUGCCUUUGAAGUCAAUAUCAUCUUGUUUGGAAUUCAAGUGUCGAACUUGUAGAUUCAUCAACAAAUUCUAAGGCUCUUACGUUUACUGCUUCUGCUGGACAUGUGUGAUUACAAGAAUGUUGCACCCCAGCAGGCAAUCUAGAUGUUGUUGUGAAGGCUUAUAGGAAGCGAACACAACAUAUGCAAGAUCUAACGAAGGAUCAUAGAGCUAGU